rnacentral:misc_RNA from 3 species
AACGCACAUUGCGCCCGCUGGUAUUCCGGCGGGCAUGCCUGUUCGAGCGUCAUUAUAACCAAUCAAGCUCUGCUUGGCUUUGGGGCCCGCUGUACCGGCGACCCUUAAAAUCAGUGGCGGUGCCGUCUGGCUCUAAGCGUAGUAAUAUUUCUCGCUAUAGGGUUCAGUCGUUCACCCGCCAGAACCCCCAACUUUCUUAGGUUGACCUCGGAUCAGGUAGGGAUACCCGCUGAACUUAA